rnacentral:lncRNA from 1 species
GGCCAUGGAACUUCCCUGCAGCUGGGAUAUAGCUGUCCUGUUCAGCUGUUUUUGAAAACCCAAAUCAUUCCAGUGUCUUAUUCCCCCUGUGACUCUUGGACUCCUUGCUCCCUUGCAAGGCAGGUCCUAUCAUCUAUACAACACCUUGCUAAUUGCCAGAAGAAUGGAGAUCUGCUUAAUGCAGAAAGACAUACGAUUUGGAGAGUGUUGAGAAGAUUAUGGACCAGAUUGUGA